rnacentral:rRNA from 1 species
AGUCCAGCGAUUCACUUCGGUGAAGAGCGGCGGACGGGUGAGUAACGCGUGGGUAACCUGCCUCAUACACAUGGAUAACAUACCGAAAGGUAUGCUAAUACAAGAUGAUAUAAGAGAUUCGCAUGGAUUUCUUAUCAAAGCUCCGGCGGUAUGAGAUGGACCCGCGUCUGAUUAGCUAGUUGGUAAGGUAACGGCUUACCAAGGCGACGAUCAGUAGCCGACCUGAGAGGGUGAUCGGCCACAUUGGAACUGAGACACGGUCCAAACUCCUACGGGAGGCAGCAGUGGGGAAUAUUGCACAAUGGGCGAAAGCCUGAUGCAGCAACGCCGCGUGAGCGAUGAAGGCCUUCGGGUCGUAAAGCUCUGUCCUCAAGGAAGAUAAUGACGGUACUUGAGGAGGAAGCCCCGGCUAACUACGUGCCAGCAGCCGC